rnacentral:rRNA from 1 species
GACGAACCGUGCGAACGUUGUUCGGAUUCACUGGGCUUAAAGGGCGCGUAGGCGGGCAAUCAAGUCAGGGGUGAAAGCCUCCAGCUUAACUGGAGAAGUGCCUCUGAUACUGGUCGUCUUGAGGGAGGUAGGGGCAUGUGGAACUUCCGGUGGAGCGGUGAAAUGCGUAGAUAUCGGAAGGAACGCCGGUGGCGAAAGCGACGUGCUGGACCUCUUCUGACGCUGAGGCGCGAAAGCUAGGGGAGCAAACGGG